CCUACGGGAGGCAGCAGUGAGGAAUAUUGGUCAAUGGACGAGAGUCUGAACCAGCCAAGUAGCGUGAAGGAUGACUGCCCUAUGGGGUGUAAACUUCUUUUAUAAAGGAAUAAAACGAGGCACGUGUGCCUUUUUGCAUGUACGUUAUGAAUAAGGAUCGGCUAACUCCGUGCCAGCAGCCGCGGUAAUACGGAGGAUCCGAGCGUUAUCCGGAUUUAUUGGGGUUAAAGGGAGCGUAGAUGGGUUGUUACGUCAGUUGUGAAAGUUUGCGGCUCAACCGUAAAAUUGCAAUUGAUACUGGCAGUCUUGAGUACCGUUGAGGUAGGCGGACUUCGUGGUGUAGCGGUGAACUGCUUAGAUCUCACGAAGAACCCCGAUUGCGAAGGCAGCUUCCUACACUGUGACUGACAUUGCUGCUCGAACGUGUGGGUAUCAAACCGGAUUAGCUCCCCUUGUAGUC
rnacentral:rRNA from 1 species